AGGGGUGUAGCUCAGUUGGCUAGAGCACCGGUCUCCAAAACCGGGUGUCGUAGGUUCGAGUCCUAUCACCCCUGCCA
rnacentral:tRNA from 1 species